rnacentral:tRNA from 1 species
CGAGAGGUUUAGAGAC